UGUGCAGUGGUACUGCUCAGUCACGGCGGAAGGAGGGGUGCCCGGAGAACAUGGGCAGAUGAAGGGGGCCUUCAUCCUAGUUUGGGAAGCACUAUUCUCAGCAAUAGUUACUUAAAAAAUUGAGUUUUCAGGUCCUUCAGCCAAGCCUUGUUGAGUGCUUUUCAGGCAGAGGCGGGAUAACUGAUCUGCUCCGCCUUCUGCCUGCUCUGAGCGUCCUUCCUGUUGCUGAAUUGGCAGCAACAACAAGUAGAUACCAACUUCUUUUUUGUCAUUCAUCAGCCUCCUAAAGCUGACUGAACCAUAGUCGUCUUCAGGUUUGGGAGUUAUUAAACACCCUCCAGGGUGAUGGAGAUGUUCUAAUGCUAGAUGAUGGUGGUGGGUGCACAGGUUGGCAAAUUGACUAAAAGUCACGGACCAUGCACUGAAAACAGGUGACUCUUACUGUCUCUAAGUUAUACUGCAAUCAAGUGGUGUA